AUAACAUUUAUUGUGUACUGAAUGUCUGAUAGGCAAUGUGUCAGAUCCUUUGUAGUCACUGCCCCCUUUGGUGUGCUUGCUAGAUUAAGCUAGAUUUUAUUUUUUUCUCCAUUUUACAGAUGAGGAAAGAGGAAGGUUAAUUGGAUUAUCUGAGGUCAACCAGCCAGGGUGAGAUUCGGGCCCCAUCCUGGUUGACUACGGAGCUCACACUCUUAACUUAUCAUUCCUCAUGAUCUGCGGAUAAUUUAAAGUAAAAAACAAAUAUUAGCCACCAACCCCGACCCCCCCACAUACACACUCACAAAGUAACCCCAAAACUCCAAACCAAAGACAACCCAGUAUCAACAAACACAAAUCUGACAAACUCUGCUCUUCUGGGAAUCACAUGGAAAAGUAAAUAGCAAAGCUUAGCCCAAGAGGAAGAGCUUAAGUAGGAAAAGCUUAUCUGCAACCGGCCAUUAAAGGACAGGUAUCUGAGGCAACAAUGAAAUGUUCAAGGUCUUUUCUCUGGAUGGGAAUUAGAUACUCUAAGUAUGAUCUUAUACUGAGAGAAUCCAAUGAAUAUUCUUCUGCCGACUUAAGGAAGUAAAUCUUACCAGGGAGCAAAUCUUGCUUUGAGGUGCAAAGGACUUUGCCCAGAGCGACUGGAGCCUUCUCUGGAGGACUAGGGCCUAGACCAGUGGUCCUUACCUUAUUUUGUGUGAGAACAUAUUUGAAAAUGUUAAUGGCAUCAGUGAUGCCUGCCUCCGGUAAAAACACAUGUAUUUAUAUCCAUGCCACAUUUUGUUCUAUGUCUAUUGACUUUUGAACUCUUUUAGGCUCGUUACUGGUUUGAGGAUGUGAAUUAAAAUUUCCCUCUGUGUUUUUGGCUUGCAGAACGUUCUUUGUCUCACGCUUUGGGGAAUGUUCUUUCGUUAGCGGUUCAGACACUGAUGCAGUUUCUUGCGAGCCUUGUGUACACCUGCAUAAGGAUGAAGAAAAUUAUUUUUCACCAUUCCCGAAGUGGAAACAUUUGCAGUAUGAGUCCCAAAAGACUUCAUGUGUCCUCUCUACCUGUUGCUCGGGAUUCUGCAAGAAAGGAGUCAGAAAUACCAGGGUGCCAUUUGUCUCACACAGUGUCCCAGGGCAAUGGACCCUGGCAUGCCCAGCGCCCGGCAUCUCCAUCAGAUGCAGCUUUGAUGGUGUACCAUCUUCAUGGUGAGGCCUUGUCCACAGCCACGGACUUUCAGGCGGGAUUUGCUGCUCAGCUGAUGACCUUUCUCUGGCUCUCAGAGAAGGCACGGAGAGGUCUGCUAGAGCCCAGGAUGGCAGGGUAAGCAAGAAUUUGCU
rnacentral:lncRNA from 1 species